rnacentral:rRNA from 1 species
CGGUAGUAACGCUGAAGACUUUAGCUUGCUAAAGUUGGAAGAGUUGCGAACGGGUGAGUAACGCGUAGGUAACCUGCCUACUAGCGGGGGAUAACUAUUGGAAACGAUAGCUAAUACCGCAUAACAGCAUUUAACCCAUGUUAGAUGCUUGAAAGGAGCAAUUGCUUCACUAGUAGAUGGACCUGCGUUGUAUUAGCUAGUUGGUGAGGUAACGGCUCACCAAGGCGACGAUACAUAGCCGACCUGAGAGGGUGAUCGGCCACACUGGGACUGAGACACGGCCCAGACUCCUACGGGAGGCAGCAGUAGGGAAUCUUCGGCAAUGGGGGCAACCCUGACCGAGCAACGCCGCGUGAGUGAAGAAGGUUUUCGGAUCGUAAAGCUCUGUUGUAAGAGAAGAACGUGUGUGAGAAUGGAAAGUUCACACAGUGACGGUAACUUACCAGAAAGGGACGGCUAACUACGUGCCAGCAGCCGCGGUAAUACGUAGGUCCCGAGCGUUGUCCGGAUUUAUUGGGCGUAAAGCGAGCGCAGGCGGUUUAAUAAGUCUGAAGUUAAAGGCAGUGGCUUAACCAUUGUUCGCUUUGGAAACUGUUAGACUUGAGUGCAGAAGGGGAGAGUGGAAUUCCAUGUGUAGCGGUGAAAUGCGUAGAUAUAUGGAGGAACACCGGUGGCGAAAGCGGCUCUCUGGUCUGUAACUGACGCUGACGCUCGGAAGCGUGCGGAGCAUACAGGAUUAGAUACCCUGGUAGUCAACGCCGUACACGAUGAGUGCUAGGUGUUACGCCCUUUCCGGUGCUUAUUGCCGCGGCUAACGCGAUAAUCCACUCCGCCUGUCGAGGACGACGUCAAGAUGAUGCUCAAACGAAAUAGGGGUUAGCCCGCGGCCUCUAACGUACGAUGUGAUUUAGUCGCGCUAGGCAUCGCAGCAUA